rnacentral:rRNA from 1 species
UAUAUAAGGAGGUAAGGCCUGCUCACUGAAUUUUGAAGAGCCGCAGUAUCCUGACUGUGCUAAGGUAGCAUAAUAAUUUGUCUCUUAAUUGGGGACUAGAAUGAAUGGUCUAACGAGAAAUUAACUUUUUUAGGAAUAAUAAUUAAACUUAAUUUUUUAGUGAAAAAGCUAAAAUAAGAUAAAAAGACGAGAAGACCCUAUAGAGUUUUAUAUAUAAACUAUUUACAUUUUAAUAACUUUUUAGAAUUGUAAAUAAAGACUAUAUUUUGUUGGGGCGACAUUUAGAUAAAAAAAACUUUUUAUAUUAAAAACUCAAAUUUGAGUAUUUACUGAUCCUUAAAAAAGAUUAAAAGUAUAAAUUACCUUAGGGAUAACAGCGUAAUCUCCCUUGAGAGUUCAAAUCGACAGGGAGGUUUGCGACCUCGAUGUUGGACUAAAAUUAAACUAAGGUGCAGAAGUCUUAGAUUUAGGUCUGUUCGACCUAUAGAUUUUU